UACGUAGGGUGCAGGCGUUAAUCGGAAUUACUGGGCGUAAAGCGUGCGCAGGCGGUUUCUUAAGUCAGAUGUGAAAGCCCCGGGCUUAACCUGGGAACUGCGUUUGAAACUGGGAGACUAGAGUGUGGCAGAGGGGGGUGGAAUUCCACGUGUAGCAGUGAAAUGCGUAGAUAUGUGGAGGAACACCGAUGGCGAAGGCAGUCCCCUGGGCCUGUACUGACGCUCAUGCACGAAAGCGUGGGGAGCAAACAGG
rnacentral:rRNA from 1 species